AAAGUGCGAUAACUAAUAUGAAUUGCAGAACCCUGUGAAUCAUCGAGAUUUCGAACGCAUAGCGCCCAGAGUGUUGCAACUUUGGGCACAUCUGGUUGAGUGACAGUUAACUUCAUUGCCCCACACCACCAAGUGUGGUCAGGGUAGCCUGUUGCGGAUGUGUGUGUAUUCACACUACCGUUAAAGUGCCCUGGGUGGCCAAGCAUACUGGCUCGGGUAAAUGUGUAUCAACAUUUAUGUGGUUCUUGCUACAACCUGGUCAGCUAAUGCACACGGUUGCCCAAAAAGCUUAAUCAUACCAAUUUGUCCUCAACUCAGGUGGGAUUACCCGCUGAACUUAA
rnacentral:misc_RNA from 1 species